rnacentral:rRNA from 1 species
CCUACGGGGGGCAGCAGUGGGGGAUAUUGCACAAUGGGGGGAACCCUGAUGCAGCGACGCCGCGUGGGUGAAGAAGCGCCUCGGCGCGUAAAGCCCUGUCAGCAGGGAAGAAAAUGACGGUACCUGAAGAAGAAGCCCCGGCUAACUACGUGCCAGCAGCCGCGGUAAUACGGAGGGUGCGAGCGUUAAUCGGAAUUACUGGGCGUAAAGCGCUCGUAGGCGGUAUGUCAAGUCAAGGGUGAAAUCCCCGCGCUCAACGUGGGAACUGCCUUUGAAACUGGCAAACUGGAGUGUGUGAGAGGAUA